GAUUGGCUCUCGGACGGCCCUGGCCGGGGAGACGAGUUGCAUGUGUUGGUUCAGCUGGCGAUAGCGGCGGGAGCGGAGCCGGCGGGGCCUGUGCGACCGCCUGGGUUUGUGAAAUGGCAGCUGACAUUUCUGAAUCCAGCGGGGCUGACUGCAAAGGAGACCCAAGGAACAGUGCCAAGUUAGAUGCCGAUUACCCACUUCGAGUCCUUUAUUGUGGAGGCAAGUGUUCGUAGCCACAGAAUGACUUUUACUCACUAUAUUUUUUUGCCUUAUAAUGUUUGACAUUUGGUGGUAUUAAGCUUUUUUCCCCAUCCUUUUCAUUUGGUGAGUUUGUACUGUGGGAGAGGGGUCCUGGGAAGGAGGAGGCAUGAAUUAACAGAGUUUCCCAACCUGGGUGAUUUGUGUCUAGCUACUCUGCCUGAAGAAGCUUACAGUCCUUUUGGAAUAGAGAUGUACAACUAGGUUAUGUCAGCCUGAAGGUCCUCAAGGUGUAUGCUAGUCUAGCUGUCAAAGGAGGGCUUCUUGGAAGAUUGUGAGUUAAGGAUGGCAAGGACUGGAUGAGAAGAUGGGGAAGGGUGUCCCAGACAAAGCGAACGACUAUGUAAGAAAAAGCGUGGUGGCUGUCUGUGAAGAAGUGAGCGGCUUUGAGUUUGUCUGGUGUAUCGUAUAGGGAGGGUGCCCGUUAAGAAGUGGGAGAAGGU
rnacentral:sRNA from 1 species